rnacentral:rRNA from 1 species
GUUUGACCUCGGAUCAGGUAGGGAUACCCGCUGAACUUAAGCAUAUCAAUAAGCGGAGGAAGAGAAACAAACAG